rnacentral:rRNA from 1 species
CCUACGGGAGGCAGCAGUGAGGAAUAUUGGUCAAUGGACGAGAGUCUGAACCAGCCAAGUAGCGUGAAGGAUGACUGCCCUAUGGGUUGUAAACUUCUUUUAUAUGGGAAUAAAAUGUUCCACGUGUGGGAUUUUGUAUGUACCAUAUGAAUAAGGAUCGGCUAACUCCGUGCCAGCAGCCGCGGUAAUACGGAGGAUCCGAGCGUUAUCCGGAUUUAUUGGGUUUAAAGGGAGCGUAGGUGGAUUUUUAAGUCAGUUGUGAAAGUUUGCGGCUCAACCGUAAAAUUGCAGUUGAAACUGGCAGUCUUGAGUACAGUAGAGGUGUGCGGAAUGCGUGGUGUAGCGGUGAAAUGCUUAGAUAUCACGAAGAACUCCGAUUGCGAAGGCAGCUCACUGGACUGCAACUGACACUGAGGCUCGAAAGUGUGGGGAGCAAACAGGAUUAGAUACCCUAGUAGUC